rnacentral:rRNA from 1 species
UACGUAGGGUGCGAGCGUUAAUCGGAAUUACUGGGCGUAAAGCGUGCGCAGGCGGUUCGCUGUGUCGGGCGUGAAAGCCCCGGGCUUAACCUGGGAAUGGCGAUGGAAACUGGCGAGCUGGAGUGCGGCAGAGGGGGGUGGAAUUCCGCGUGUAGCAGUGAAAUGCGUAGAGAUGCGGAGGAACACCGAUGGCGAAGGCAGCCCCCUGGGUCGACACUGACGCUCAGGCACGAAAGCGUGGGGAGCAAACAGG